rnacentral:rRNA from 1 species
GACGGAAGGUGCAAGCGUUGCUCGGAAUCACUGGGCGUAAAGGGUGCGUAGGCGGCUUGGUGGGUCUGGUGUGAAAGCCCCGGGCUCAGCCCGGGAAGGGCACUAGAAACUGCCGAGCUGGAGUGCCGGAGGGGAGAGUGGAAUUCCGGGUGUAGCGGUGGAAUGCGUAGAGAUCCGGAAGAACACCGGUGGCGAAGGCGGCCUGCUGGGCAGUAGCUGACGCUGAGGCGCGACAGCGUGGGGAGCAAACAGG